rnacentral:rRNA from 1 species
GUCCUGGUUCAGGAUGAACGCUAGCUACAGGCUUAACACAUGCAAGUCGAGGGGCAUCAGUUUGGUUUGCUUGCAAACCAAAGCUGGCGACCGGCGCACGGGUGAGUAACACGUAUCCAACCUACCUCAUACUCGGGGAUAGCCUUUCGAAAGAAAGAUUAAUAUCCGAUAGCAUAUAUUUCCCGCAUGGGUUUUAUAUUAAAGAAAUUCGGUAUAAGAUGGGGAUGCGUUCCAUUAGUUUGUUGGGGGGGUAACGGCCCACCAAG